rnacentral:misc_RNA from 1 species
GAUGAAGAACGCAGCGAAAUGCGAUACGUAAUGUGAAUUGCAGAAUUCAGUGAAUCAUCGAGUCUUUGAACGCACAUUGCGCCCUCUGGUAUUCCGGAGGGCAUGCCUGUCCGAGCGUCAUUGCUGCCCUCAAGCACGGCUUGUGUGUUGGGCCCCGUCCUCCGAUCCCGGGGGACGGGCCCGAAAGGCAGCGGCGGCACCGCGUCCGGUCCUCGAGCGUAUGGGGCUUUGUCACCCGCUCUGUAGGCCCGGCCGGCGCUUGCCGAUCAACCCAAAUUUUUAUCCAGGUUGACCUCGGAUCAGGUAGGGAUACCCGCUGAACUUAAGCAUAUCAAUAAGCGGAGGA